GGGCUUGUAGCUCAGCAGCAGAGCGCUCCGUUCGCAUCGGAGAGGCCGGGGGUGCGAAUCCCCCCAAGUCCA
rnacentral:tRNA from 1 species